rnacentral:rRNA from 1 species
GCUACGCUUGCCUCCUUCGGGGAGCCCACGGGCUUGGUCACCAACUGCUCUAAGAGUCUGGUUGCACCAAUCCGGUGCGAGGGCGUUGAUCUUGAUGACAUCUUGCAGUCUUUCCCGGCCUGCCGCUCUUCCUUCCCCAUCCGUUAUCUGGGUUUACCACUUGCGAUCAGAAGGUUGAGGAGGGUCCACUUGCAACACUUAGAAGAUAAAGCUGCCGGGAAGCUUGCACCGUGGAGGGGGAGGCAUGUUGCUAUUGCGGGUCGAAUGACCCUUGUCAAAGCGGUGCUCACGGCUGUGGAAAUCUAUCAUCUUACACCGCUUGACCUUCCGAUGGAGGUGUCGUGGAUCUAA